UUAGAAGGCAAGGUUUUUAAGACUAUAGAAGUGUAUAAACUCUGCAGAACAUUUUUAUUUUAAUUUAUACCAUUUUCACGUUCAUUUGCUAUAAAAAAAAUGAGUAAUCAAUGUAAUAUUUCAUUUCAAUAUUUACCAAAAGUGUUGAAUGCAAUGAAUCCAGUCAUGCAUGUCAGAGAUGCUGCCAAGGGUGGUUUGCCCUGGAGGUGGAUCACAGUGCCGAGGGUCAGCAUGGACAGGGCCAUGCCAAUCCCCGAGAUUAUGGACACAGGUCGUCGACCGACUCUCGAGAGAAUCGCGCAACUGACGCAAAUGACGACGAGUCGAGCUGCUCCGAUGACCACGGCUGACUGGUCGUCGGUCAAAAUGCCACCUUCGGCCGACUGGAAAAUCUGAACGGCGUAGAAAAUUACGGCGUUCAUUCCACAGAACUGUUGGAAGAAGAAAAAGACAACCAGGAUGAGCAGCGGUCGCCGAGUGUGUCUCGAGAUCAGCGACUUCCACGCAGAAUCACAUGGCGAUUUUGAACUGAAAGACUUUCAUCAGAGAUUUGGCCUUGAAGCCACACAGGACUCUCAGGUAGGAAAAUGAGCACCAUGAAGUGGAGGAGAGGGACGACCGCACAAAUUGCGGCGAUGAGGUUCCACUGCAGGUGGAAAGCGCCCAUGGUGUACACGGACAGCAUCCCCAUGGAGAAGAUCAGACUGGGCGUCGAGGCCAAAAAGUUUCUCAAAUUCAACCAUGCCGCCGCCGAGACCGGUGAGAAGGCGGCCAAUGUACAGCGUGUGCACUUCUGUGGACAGGGCCAGAAGAAUCCAACCAAUGAAAUUCGGCACGCAUUGAAUUUGCAGCGUUCGUUUCCGGCCGAAUCUGUCCAUGAUAAAGCCGACGAGAAAACUGCCGACGGCGAAACUCAACGCAGCCAAACUUGCUAAAUUAAAAACAAAAUAAUAUUAAAUUAGAAUUCAAAAUUUUUGGACAGAAAUUUUACUAGCUAGAUUAGUUCUGGAAUUUCAAUCUUAUUAAAUUGAAGAGUUUCAGGAAACGUUUAAUUAAAACUUUCUCUUUAAAGACACCAAACUUUUGAUGAUCGUAAGUCUUGAAAUUGAAAUUUUUGAAGUUUCUGCAGGUUUUACUAUUGACAAAACAGACUUUUGUUAGAAAUGAAAUUUUUCAUAAUAUAAUUAUGCCACAUCUGGGUGAAAUUUUUAUGCGAUUCAAAAUAAACAGUAGAUCUUUAUGGACAGAAAAGUAUUGCGCAUUAUGUAUUAAAUUUUUUAGCAUUAGACAUUGAAGAAAACAAACUUUUUUGCGCAUCAGAAUCAAAAUAAUUGACGCUAAUAGAAGUUGGUAAAUAUUUGCCACAAUCGCAUGGCAAUUGUUCACUUUCCAACAAGUGCACUCGCUCUCUCAUUAGUUUUGCUUUUAGGUCACGCGCGCGCACCGACGCUGCUCAUUAUUAUUUAUCGGUCGGACAUGCUUUUGCUGACCGAUAAAUAAGUGCACUUCUUCUUCUUCCGAGAGAGAAAGAUCAAUUGAUAUUGGCCCUGAAUCUGAGCUGUUGAUCAGGCUGAUAGGGCACACCAUUGAUUAUUCUGUUUUGCUGCUGGAAACAGCUGCUCUCGAACAAUAUAAUUGCUCAAGAGAAAGUACUCCUUAUUUGCAUAUUUAAAAAAUUUAAUCUUUAAAAUAGAAAAAUAAGCAUUGAAUUUUUUAAUUAUUUUAAAUUUGGUUCACAAUCUAUCCUGAAAUCCGCAUGUUUUAUUUAGAAAAAUUACACUUUUUAAUUUUUUGCAAUAUUUUGCUGAUUAAUUUUUUAAAAUUAACUUAAUAACUGAAUUGAUUCGUAAAUAGUUUUUAAAAUAAUCAAAAUUAAUAACAUUUUUAAAAUUAAAACCUACCGAGAACCAAUUUUGCUGAAAAAAUAUCUUCAUCUUGGACUUUUAAAUAAAAAUUUAGACACACAUAAAAGAAAAAUUAGGAAUUUAUUCACCUAUCCAUGAAGCUUCGUCCUCUGUGACUGGCAGCCAACUUUCAGGGUGCUGCAGCUGCGGCAGGGCAAUGGCCGAGUAUCCCAAAAUCAUCCCAUUUCCAAGCGAGGACAAGUCGGCCAAGAGGACUGUCACGAUCUGCGAUAGAAAUUACGUUUAAAAAUAAUUUUACCUAAAUUAAAAAUUUACUUCUUUGCAUUUUCCUUCCUUCAAAUUUUGACUUGCGACUUUUGAAAUUAUUCGCGGCGGUGCAGAACCACCGAGCAAGAUAUUUUUCUCUUCUUCCUCCUGAUCAGCAAGUUCGUCUCCACGACUGAAGAUCAAAAAUCAUAUAAAAAAAAGUGUGAAAGAACGUUUGCGUGCGAGUCAACUAUCGAAAAGGUCGUACAUGAACGAGCAAACCGAAAACUGGUUUGUAUAACCAGAGAGAAGCAGUUAUGAAUGUCUCCCUGAAAACGUCCACAAUCCUUGUAAAUUAUUUAAAUUCAAAGUAAAUUGAAAAUUGUAAUU